UCGGGAAUUUUGGGCAAUGGGCGAAAGCCUGACCCAGCAACGCCGCGUGAGGGAUGAAGUAUUUCGGUAUGUAAACCUCGAAAGAAUGGGAAGAAUAAAUGACGGUACCAUUUAUAAGCUCCGGCUAACUACGUGCCAGCAGCCGCGGUAAUACGUAGGGAGCAAGCGUUGUUCGGAUUUACUGGGCGUAAAGGGCGCGUAGGCGGCGCGGUAAGUCACUUGUGAAAUCUCUGAGCUUAACUCAGUACGGCCAAGUGAUACUGCUGUGCUAGAGUGCAGAAGAGGCAACCGGAAUUCUUGGUGUAGCGGUGAAAUGCGUAGAUAUCAAGAGGAACACCUGAGGCGAAGGCGGGUUGCUGGGCCGACACUGACGCUGAUGCGCGAAAGCCAGGGGAGCAAACG
rnacentral:rRNA from 1 species